rnacentral:sRNA from 1 species
AAGGACGUAGCGCAGGAAGCGCAAAGGACAGAACAGGGACUACGCAGGAGUUCUCACCAGGAUGGUGAGCGAUAUGGAUGUCAGGGAAACAGUCUGAAAGCCCCGCUUAUGCGGGGUUUU